rnacentral:lncRNA from 1 species
CCCCGGCAUUUCAAAAGAGGAAGAAGAGAAGCAAACAGAGAGAAAGACAGACACCACAAUGGCUGGAGCUCCGGCACCUGACCUCCACGAUGUGCUUCUGAACAUCCUGCGGGACAUGAACGAUGAGCAAUUCGACGCCUUCAAGUGGCAUCUGAGAAACAUAACUACAAUCCCACGGAGCGAGCUGGAGUCCGCAAACCGGCGUAAGACCGUGGACCUGAUGCUGUCGCUUCACCAGCAGGAGGCCGUGAACAUGACCAUAAUAUCGCUGGUGAAGAUCCCGAGGAACGACCUGGUGGAGCGUUUGACUGCUACAUAAGGAUCAUCGGCGCCGAUGCACCGCCUCCUUCACCCUGGUCUGCUCGACUGCUACACCCUACAGUGGCCCACUACGUCUUUCCAUCCGUCUCAUUCCAGAAUUCAUCUGUUUACACCAGUAUUUCCAGUCGUGUUCACCCAGCGACACUAACUUUUUGUAAACAGCUCGUAGGACCAAACAUCUUCCUCUGUCUGUCCUUUACACUACAUCUGAACAUCUGAACAACCUCUGAAC